ACGGCAGCAUGAUCUAGCUUGCUAGAUUGAUGGCGAGUGGCGAACGGGUGAGUAAUACAUCGGAACGUGCCCUGUAGUGGGGGAUAACUAGUCGAAAGAUUAGCUAAUACCGCAUACGACCUGAGGGUGAAAGUGGGGGACCGCAAGGCCUCAUGCUAUAGGAGCGGCCGAUGUCUGAUUAGCUAGUUGGUGGGGUAAAGGCCCACCAAGGCGACGAUCAGUAGCUGGUCUGAGAGGACGAUCAGCCACACUGGGACUGAGACACGGCCCAGACUCCUACGGGAGGCAGCAGUGGGGAAUUUUGGACAAUGGGCGAAAGCCUGAUCCAGCAAUGCCGCGUGUGUGAAGAAGGCCUUCGGGUUGUAAAGCACUUUUGUCCGGAAAGAAAUGGCUCUGGUUAAUACCUGGGGUCGAUGACGGUACCGGAAGAAUAAGGACCGGCUAACUACGUGCCAGCAGCCGCGGUAAUACGUAGGGUCCAAGCGUUAAUCGGAAUUACUGGGCGUAAAGCGUGCGCAGGCGGUUGUGCAAGACCGAUGUGAAAUCCCCGAGCUUAACUUGGGAAUUGCAUUGGUGACUGCACGGCUAGAGUGUGUCAGAGGGGGGUAGAAUUCCACGUGUAGCAGUGAAAUGCGUAGAGAUGUGGAGGAAUACCGAUGGCGAAGGCAGCCCCCUGGGAUAACACUGACGCUCAUGCACGAAAGCGUGGGGAGCAAACAGGAUUAGAUACCCUGGUAGUCCACGCCCUAAACGAUGUCAACUAGUUGUUGGGGAUUCAUUUCCUUAGUAACGUAGCUACGCGUGAAGUUGACCGCCUGGGGAGUACGGUCGCAAGAAUAAAACUCAAAGGAAUUGACGGGGACCCG
rnacentral:rRNA from 1 species